rnacentral:ncRNA from 2 species
CGUACACUAAUUUACGCUGGUGCACGGGAAGCUGGUGAGAUUCCAGCACAGCCCCGCUACUGUAAGCGCGGAGAAUCGAACGAAAAAGCCACUGUUUCCCCCGGGGAACGGGAAGGCCGUACGAUUUGACGAUGCGCAAGUCAGGAGACCGGCCAGCGCGUAACCAAACAA